rnacentral:rRNA from 1 species
UACAGAGGGUGCAAGCGUUUAAUCGGAUUUACUGGGCGUAAAGCGCGCGUAGGCGGCUAAUUAAGUCAAAUGUGAAAUCCCCCGAGCUUAACUUGGGAAUUGCAUUCGAUACUGGUUAGCUAGAGUGUGGGAGAGGAUGGUAGAAUUCCAGGUGUAGCGGUGAAAUGCGUAGAGAUCUGGAGGAAUACCGAUGGCGAAGGCAGCCAUCUGGCCUAACACUGACGCUGAGGUGCGAAAGCAUGGGGAGCAAACAGG